UCACGGCCAGGACUUCAGCCGCUAGGCCACCACGCCGGACCCAAAAUAGGUUUCUGUAACUAAAGAAUGCUCAUCAAGUUGGCAUCAGUUAUAUAGAUUUUAGGCAAGGAAACAAGCUUUGGUGUUGCAGGUCUUCCAAGAAGCAAGAGCCCAGGCACUUUGAUGUUCCACACUUAAUUGAAAAAUUAAAUUGAAGCAAUGAAAGAAAGACAUGUAACAAAGAAUGAGAUCAUAGGAAAACAAAAAAAAAAAGGUGAUCAAAUUCCAGAUAUACCAUCAUUUUAUGAUAGUAGAGUUCCUUGAAUUGUUGUAAACUGAAUUUCUAAAGCUAUUGGGAACCUCCCAAGUGUUUUACAAAGUCUUUGGGGAGGGAGGAGGUUUUAAAAUUGCGUAUCUAGGUAGAAAUAUUUCAGCUUGUUUGAUGCAUACUGCAACUCUAUAGUUAGCAAAGAUAUCCUGCAUAUUUAU